rnacentral:tRNA from 2 species
GGACCUGUCGUCUAAUUUGGAAAGGCACCACUCUUUGAGUGGGAUCCCGGUUCGAUUCCGGGUAGGUAAA